GGCGAAGGAUGCAAGCGUUAUCCGGAUUUAUUGGGUUUAAAGGGUGCGUAGGCGGCUUGAUAAGUCAGUGGUGAAAGCCGAUCGCUUAACGAUCGAACUGCCAUUGAUACUGCCAGGCUUGAGUAUAGUUGAGGUAGGCGGAAUUGACAGUGUAGCGGUGAAAUGCAUAGAUAUUGUCAAGAACACCAAUUGCGAAGGCAGCUUACUAAAGUAUAACUGACGCUGAGGCACGAAAGUGCGGGGAUCAAACAGG
rnacentral:rRNA from 1 species